UACGAAGGGGGCUAGCGUUGUUCGGAAUUACUGGGCGUAAAGCGCGCGCAGGCGGUCUUCCAAGUCAGUGGUGAAAGCCCGGAGCUCAACUCCGGAACUGCCAUUGAAACUGUUGGACUUGAGUACGAGAGAGGUGAGUGGAAUUCCCAGUGUAGAGGUGAAAUUCGUAGAUAUUGGGAAGAACACCGGUGGCAGAAGGCGG
rnacentral:rRNA from 1 species